rnacentral:rRNA from 1 species
CCUACGGUGGGCAGCAGUGGGGGAUAUUGCACAAUGGGGGAAACCCUGAUGCAGCGACGCCGCGUGUGGGAAGACGGUCCUCUGGAUUGUAAACCACUGUCCCCAGGGACGAAGAUGACGGUACCUGGGGAGGAAGCUCCGGCUAACUACGUGCCAGCAGCCGCGGUAAUACGUAGGGAGCGAGCGUUGUCCGGAAUUACUGGGUGUAAAGGGAGCGUAGGCGGGACUGCAAGUUGGGUGUCAAAUCUACCGGCUCAACCGGUAGCCGCACUGAAAACUGCAGUUCUUGAGUGAAGUAGAGGCAGGUGGAAUUCCUAGUGUAGCGGUGAAAUGCGUAGAUAUUAGGAGGAACACCAGUGGCGAAGGCGGCCUGCUGGGCUUUUAUUGACGCUGAGGCUCGAAAGUGUGGGGAGCAAACAGGAUUAGAUACCCUUGUAGUC